rnacentral:rRNA from 1 species
CCUACGGGAGGCAGCAGUGGGGAAUAUUGGGCAAUGGGCGCAAGCCUGACCCAGCAACGCCGCGUGAAGGAAGAAGGCUUUCGGGUUGUAAACUUCUUUUCUCAGGGACGAAUAAAGUGACGGUACCUGAGGAAUAAGCCACGGCUAACUACGUGCCAGCAGCCGCGGUAAUACGUAGGUGGCAAGCGUUAUCCGGAUUUAUUGGGUGUAAAGGGCGUGUAGGCGGGUGCGCAAGUCAGAUGUGAAAACUCAGGGCUCAACCCUGAGCCUGCAUUUGAAACUGUGUUUCUUGAGUACUGGAGAGGCAGUCGGAAUUCCGUGUGUAGCGGUGAAAUGCGUAGAUAUACGGAGGAACACCAGUGGCGAAGGCGGAUUGCUGGACAGUAACUGACGCUGAGGCGCGAAAGCGUGGGGAGCAAACAGGAUUAGAUACCCUUGUAGUC